rnacentral:lncRNA from 1 species
UCUUGUCUUCAGGCUAGGCUGCUCUGCUGCCUCUGAACCCUCAUGGCCCUUAUCUGUAAUUUCCAGUUGGUUCUGUAGUACUGCUGAGUUUGCUAAUUGAUCUUUGAAUAUAAAUUCUUAGGCAGGGCCAGAGUCUACUACACUUUCCACUCCUGUGUUUGAGUCUCCACAGUAGCGUAAGGCAAGAGUGGGUACUCGGCCUGUAUGUGUUCAUGAGUCAUCCACACCAUAUUCCAGCAUAGGAUAUAAAUGACACUAUCGACAUCAGCCAGGGACACUGUCUCGGAAGCAGACUCAGACUCUGGUAGCACGAGCUUAUUUUUAUCCAAAGCAGGUAAGAUUGGAGUAAACAAAGGAGGACAUGGUGGAUCCCCAGAGCUCGCUGGUCAGGCUCUCAAAAACAGGCAGAAAGCAGAAGAGGAAGACAUCCAGUGUCAACCCCUGACCUUUACCCACUCAUAUAUACUCUCCAUGAACAUAGACACACAAGGAAGCCUCAACUUCAUCCCUAUUGUAAAUGAGAAUUAUGCGGUGGUAGACCAGGCAUGGAAACAUACCUAUAAUCUCAGCACUGUGGAGAAUAAUGAAUUCUGGGUUAGCCUGGGUUACUUAAUGAGUUCUAGGAUAACCUGGGCUACACCAUGAGAACCUAUCUCAAGAAAAGAACAGAACAGUGACAAACUUCAAAUUUUAGAUUGACACAUAAAAUGUUGGCUAACUGUUGGGAUGGAAAUGGAGAAGCAAGCACUCUCCUGUAAACAACUGUACCUAUUUUUAAUAUAAAACUUUACAUACCCUCUGAGCCUAAAUUGUAUCUGAUGGCCAUUAUACAACAGGCAAAAGAAUGUUCCCUGAAGUAUUUGUAUGAAAGUAAGGCUAGAAACAGGUAAAUGUUUAUCACUUACCUAAAUAAAUCAUGGAAUGCAGUAGUAGUUAAAAAGAACACAGUGUUUGCGUGUUGCUGAGAUGACAAUGUCAAUGAGAAAAGUAAAAGGUGAUGUGAUUUAACCGUACUGUGGGUUAAAGACAGAAUUACAUGUAGGUCUCUAUAAAUCUGUCACAGGAAGACAAAUGCCUAAUACUAUGGCUGCCUCCAAAGAGGAAAAUUUGGGGUUAGGGAUCAGGAAGAGAUUUUUGUAAUCAUGCAUAUUUGACUUUUUUUCUGGAGACAUUUAAUACCUUUGCAAAAUAAAUUCUUGGCAGUUUAUAAACUUA